AGGAAUAUUGGUCAAUGGACGAGAGUCUGAACCAGCCAAGUAGCGUGAAGGAUGACUGCCCUAUGGGUUGUAAACUUCUUUUAUACGGGAAUAAAGUGAGGCACGUGUGCCUUUUUGUAUGUACCGUAUGAAUAAGGAUCGGCUAACUCCGUGCCAGCAGCCGCGGUAAUACGGAGGAUCCGAGCGUUAUCCGGAUUUAUUGGGUUUAAAGGGAGCGUAGGCGGACGCUUAAGUCAGUUGUGAAAGUUUGCGGCUCAACCGUAAAAUUGCAGUUGAUACUGGGUGUCUUGAGUACAGUAGAGGCAGGCGGAAUUCGUGGUGUAGCGGUGAAAUGCUUAGAUAUCACGAAGAACUCCAAUUGCGAAGGCAGCUUGCUGGACUGUAACUGACGCUGAUGCUCGAAAGUGUGGGUAUCAAACAGGAUUAGAUACCCUGGUAGUCCACACAGUAAACGAUGAAUACUCGCUGUUUGCGAUAUACAGUAAGCGGCCAAGCGAAAGCGUUAAGUAUUCCACCUGGGGAGUACGCCGGCAACGGUGAAACUCAAAGGAAUUGACGGGGGCCCGCACAAGCGGAGGAACAUGUGGUUUAAUUCGAUGAUACGCGAGGAACCUUACCCGGGCUUGAAUUGCAACUGAAUGAUGUGGAGACAUGUCAGCCGCAAGGCAGUUGUGAAGGUGCUGCAUGGUUGUCGUCAGCUCGUGCCGUGAGGUGUCGGCUUAAGUGCCAUAACGAGCGCAACCCUUAUCGAUAGUUACCAUCAGGUUAUGCUGGGGACUCUGUCGAGACUGCCGUCGUAAGAUGUGAGGAAGGUGGGGAUGACGUCAAAUCAGCACGGCCCUUACGUCCGGGGCUACACACGUGUUACAAUGGGGGGUACAGAAGGCAGCUACACGGCGACGUGAUGCUAAUCCCUAAAGCCUCUCUCAGUUCGGAUUGGAGUCUGCAACCCGACUCCAUGAAGCUGGAUUCGCUAGUAAUCGCGCAUCAGCCACGGCGCGGUGAAUACGUUCCCG
rnacentral:rRNA from 1 species